rnacentral:lncRNA from 1 species
GGUAUCCACAUGAAGCCCUCGUGCUGAUCAAUCUCCUCGAGAGUGCUAGCUCAUGAAGACACCAUACUUUGGCUGAUCUAAGAGGAAUCAUGAAGAUGAAGAAUAAGAAGAUCUUUUUUUUUCUUCCUGAAUCCACGCAUCAGAUCUCUACAAUGGAGAUCAUGAGAAGAACCUUUCUUCUCAAUUCUCCCAUGCACAAGAGAGAACCUUUCUCUCUUCCUUUCAUGCC